CGCCCAAUCAGAGAAAUCCUAGCCUUCAAAUCCCCACUCUAUCACGCAUCUUCCUCCUCAAUCUCUCUCUGGCCCCUUCCUCCCUCUCAAUGUCUCUCACGCCUCUCCCUUUCUCUCCAAUUCCAGUAAACGCAUUGGACUACUUCAACCCUUGGUUCCUAUAUUGCGUCCAUCUAUCUUCGAUUUUUCUUUUUUUAUUCUCAUUUCAGGUUUUCUAAUGCCCUAAUCGAUUUCUUUUUCUAUUCUCAUUUCAGGUUUUCUGAUGCCCUAUCAACGACCUUAUUUUUGUAUAUAGAGAAGCAGAGGCAAGCAUUACGCUUCUCUGAUUUCAACAGCCUCUAAUCAUUUCUCAUGAGAUUUCUAUGUAUUUUUUAAGAAAGAGGCUUGAAAAUUUCACAAGGUAAAGUCUGCUAAUGAACGUGCUUCAAGAGGCCUUCCACUGGACGAAGUUGAAGCAAUGGCUGUUGCAGGCCUUCUACAGUUUGCUGAUAUCUUGCAAUCUAGCAUGAAAGCAGCACUCAAGCGUUGACAGCCUGCUAUGUAGCUAGUCAAGUUCAUAUUAUUAACAAGUCAGCACUGAUUCUAUCUCAAGGGAAGAGUGGUAAAGGUUUUCAAUGGAUUUCACCUGAUGAAACUGAGAUCACUCCCUACAGUGGAGCAGGUGAAAAUUUUUCCUGAGUCUUUGAAGCCCCUAUCUCAUUUUUGAAACCAGGCAAUGCUACAGAAAUCUUGCUACCUUGAAGAUGCUCGUGAUAAAGUGCAGAUUUUGGGAGGAAAUAUGUCUACACUUGGACUACUGCGGAAAUCCAUUUAUGUUAAAAAGAUUUAUACAAACCAUGAGAUCAAUUCAAGGAGCACUGAUUGUAGCAUCAAGAUUACAGAUCAUCCUGGGUUACUACCAGCUAUGGAAAAAAAUUCACAGUACUCCAUAGCAGCACCUCAUUCACUGAGGUUAAUUUGUUCCUGUUCUGAAUAGUAUUCCUAGUUCUUUGUGGUUCUCUUCACAGGUUUUUCAGUCCUCUUGGCAUUGCACCUGUGAUUGGACUAGUUGGUUUGGGAUUAUUUGAGCGAGGCUUCCCUGUGGUACUUCAGUUAUUUGCAAUAAGCUUUUUAAGUCCAUGACAUGUUUUAGCAUUUUUUAAACCAUAGAAUUAUAUUGUAAUUCUUUGUUCUUUAGUUGGGGAAUGGUGUUGAAAUUGGCAUAUCACUGUUGUUUAGUGGUAAAUGCAAAA